UUCAAUAUUUUCAGGUCAUUACCACCCUGGAAUCCAGCGAAGUUCUGGCAACCCAAAAAGACCUCUCUAUUUUCCCCAUUAUCCAGUGAAAACCCCUCUGGACCUUCCUCUCCUCAAUAACCCAAAAAGAACCCCUUUUCCCCAUUAUCUGGCGAAAACCCCUCUGGACAUCCCUCUCCUCAAUCUCAUCCUUUCCCACUCACUUUUUCCCUCCUUCAAGACACCUUUCACGCCCCCUCUCCCUUUUUCUUCCGUUACUCUCUCCUUCCUCUCCUCUCCUCCUCUCUUCCCCCUGUUUCGUUGCCCCUCUCCCUUUUUCCCCCUCUUCCUAUUUCUCUUCCUUCUCCUUCAGACCAGACGACCUCCCAAACAUCUGCUAAGUUACCAGCAAACAACCACCAAAUCCCCACUGUAAGACAACCAAAACAGACCCUUCUCCAUUUUCCCGUCAAAAUCACCACCGAAAACACCACACCUUGCCACCUCCAACGCUCCGACCAUCGAUGUUCCACUCGCCAAUCCACAAGCAAAUGCCGUUGAAUAACCCAACGCAGCUACGCAGUGAAACCACCAGGCAGCAGGCUCCGGCGAACAACUACAGCAAGUACCAGAGCCGCUAGUCCACUAGUGAGCUCUUUCUUAGGGCAAAAAUGAUGGUACACAAAGUUGUUUCCCAUGAAGUCAUUCGAAAAAGCUCGAAUUAUAUUUUUAUUUCAUUAUUAUUUUCUUUUAUUGUAUAUAUUGCAUGCUUUUUAUAUUCGUA